rnacentral:rRNA from 1 species
GACGAACCGUGCGACCGUUGUUCGGAAUCACUGGGCUUAAAGGGCGCGUAGGCGGUGCCACAAGUCACUUGUGAAAUCCCCAGGCUUAACCUGGGGCCUGCAGGCGAAACUGUGGUGCUGGAGUGUGGGAGAGGUGCGUGGAAUUCCCGGUGUAGCGAUGAAAUGCGUAGAUAUCGGGAGGAACACCUGUGGCGAAAGCGGCGCACUGGACCAUAACUGACGCUGAGGCGCGAAAGCUAGGGGAGCAAACAGG